UCCCCAGUGGCGUAAGUGGCUAGCGAGCUGUACCUAUACAGCAGUAUCUGCGAGUAAUGCGAGUUCGAUCCUCAUCUGGGGAA